rnacentral:tRNA from 1 species
GAUGAAGUGGCCGAGUAGGCGGUGGGUUGUAGCCCCGAAGACAGAGGUUUAAGUCCUCUCUUUAUUA